AGACCCGAAACCCGGUGAUCUAGCCAUGGGCAGGUUGAAGGUUGGGUAACACUAACUGGAGGACCGAACCGACUAAUGUUGAAAAAUUAGCGGAUGACCUGUGGCUGGGGGUGAAAGGCCAAUCAAACCGGGAGAUAGCUGGUUCUCCCCGAAAGCUAUUUAGGUAGCGCCUCGUGAAUUCAUCUCCGGGGGUAGAGCACUGUUUCGGCCAGGGGGCCAUCCCGGCUUACCAAUCCGAUGCAAACUGCGAAUACCGGAGAAUGUUAUCACGGGAGACACACGGCGGGUGCUAACGUCCGUCGUGAAGAGGGAAACAACCCAGACCGCCAGCUAAGGUCCCAAAGUCAUGGUUAAGUGGGAAACGAUGUGGGAAGGCCCAGACAGCCAGGAUGUUGGCUUAGAAGCAGCCAUCAUUUAAAGAAAGCGUAAUAGCUCACUGGUCGAGUCGGCCUGCGCGGAAGAUGUAACGGGGCUAAACCAUGCACCGAAGCUGCGGCAGCGACACUGAUGUGUUGUUGGGUAGGGGAGCGUUCUGUAAGCCGUUGAAGGUGUGUCGUGAGGCAUGCUGGAGGUAUCAGAAGUGCGAAUGCUGACAUAAGUAACGAUAAAGCGGGUGAAAAGCCCGCUCGCCGGAAGACCAAGGGUUCCUGUCCAACGUUAAUCGGGGCAGGGUGAGUCGACCCCUAAGGCGAGGCCGAAAGGCGUAGUCGAUGGGAAACGGGUUAAUAUUCCCGUACUUGGUGUUACUGCGAAGGGGGGACGGAGAAGGCUAUGUUGGCCGGGCGACGGUUGUCCCGGUUUAAGCGUGUAGGUGUGUGUUCCAGGUAAAUCCGGUUCACUUUAACACUGAGGCGUGAUGACGAGGCACUACGGUGCUGAAGCAACAAAUGCCCUGCUUCCAGGAAAAGCCUCUAAGCCUCAGGUAACAUCAAAUCGUACCCCAAACCGACACAGGUGGUCAGGUAGAGAAUACCAAGGCGCUUGAGAGAACUCGGGUGAAGGAACUAGGCAAAAUGGUGCCGUAACUUCGGGAGAAGGCACGCUGACACGUAGGUGAAGUGGUUUACCCAUGGAGCUGAAGUCAGUCGAAGAUACCAGCUGGCUGCAACUGUUUAUUAAAAACACAGCACUGUGCAAACACGAAAGUGGACGUAUACGGUGUGACGCCUGCCCGGUGCCGGAAGGUUAAUUGAUGGGGUCAGCGCAAGCGAAGCUCCUGAUCGAAGCCCCGGUAAACGGCGGCCGUAACUAUAACGGUCCUAAGGUAGCGAAAUUCCUUGUCGGGUAAGUUCCGACCUGCACGAAUGGCGUAAUGAUGGCCAGGCUGUCUCCACCCGGGACUCAGUGAAAUUGAACUCGCUGUGAAGAUGCAGUGUACCCGCGGCAAGACGGAAAGACCCCGUGAACCUUUACUAUAGCUUGACACUGAACACUGGUCCUUGAUGUGCAGGAUAGGUGGGAGGCUUUGAAGUGUG
rnacentral:rRNA from 1 species